rnacentral:rRNA from 1 species
UACGUAGGGACCAAGCGUUGUUCGGAUUUACUGGGCGUAAAGGGCGCGUAGGCGGCAAUUCAAGUCAUCUGUGAAAUCUCCGGGCUUAACCCGGAACGGUCAGAUGAUACUGCUUUGCUAGAGUGCAGAAGGGGCAAUCGGAAUUCUUGGUGUAGCGGUGAAAUGCGUAGAUAUCAAGAGGAACACCUGAGGUGAAGACGGGUUGCUGGGCUGACACUGACGCUGAGUGCGCGAAAGCCAGGGGAGCAAACGGG